AUUGAACGCUGGCGUCAGGCCUAACACCUGCAAGUCGAGCGGAGCGGCGGACGGGUGAGUAAUGCCUAGGAAUCUGCCUGGUAGUGGGGGAUAACGUCCGGAAACGGGCGCUAAUACCGCAUACUAUCAGAUGAGCCUAGGUCGGAUUAGCUAGUUGGUGGGGUAAAGGCCUACCAAGCCGACGAUCCGUAACUGGUCUGAGAGGAUGAUCAGUCACACUGGAACUGAGAAAGGGUCCAGACGCGUACGGGAGGCAGCAGGGGGGAAUAGUGGACAAUGGGCGAAAGCCUGAGCCAGCAAUGAAGCGUGUGUGAAGAAGGUCGUAGGAUUGUAAAGAAAUUUAAGUUGGGAGGCGUUACCAACAGAAUAAGCACCGGCUAACUUAGUGCAAGAAGCAGAGGUAAUU
rnacentral:rRNA from 1 species